AUGGAAACGGAACUGGCCAUUCCUUGUAGGAUUCGCAAUCACCGGAACCCUAAUCACCAAGUUUUCUCUUGGCCUUAGUGAGGAAGAUUCUAAGAAGUCAAAAUUCGUUCAAGCGCACAAAAGGUGACUUAUGAAUGGUGACAUUUGCACUGGCUUUGCACUUUGUGUUAGGUUUGUCAAGAUUGCUUUGCUUGUCUUGAUGUUAUGGAUGUAAUAACAGGAGUGAUGCUCUAUAUAAGUCUCUAUCACCGUGUUACUAUUUUCAGUUCGGUUGUUUCCCCAAAUCUGUUUUUCAUAAAAUGCUAAGUAAUUUCUGAUUUGCUUUAUUGUAAUACUCAUUUUACGCAGAGUUUCUGAUGUUAUACAUUGACCAUAAUCUUGGGAAAAAUAGUGUACCUUUUACUUGUUGAAGUUUAUUACUAUUUGAUAUUCACUUAGUAAGUCGGUAUGUAUAGAAUUUCUUUAGUAUCAUGAAUAGGCUUUCUGUUCUUUGAUGGC